rnacentral:lncRNA from 1 species
GUUGGAGCUCUAUCUGCUCUCUAAACCUGAAGGUGGACUUGGAUUAAAAGAUUUAGUAAGCUUGUAUGAUGCAGCAUAUAAGUGCCAUCUUGGCUAAGGAGGGCUGCUUUUGGGUGGCACCGUGUUUUUUUGGAGUAUGAAAAUAACAAAGUGGUAGUAUUGAUGGAGAUUUUGAAGGUGAGGAAUUUGCUUCAACUGUGAUUAUUUCUCCUGAUGCUCCAAGGCAGUCUGUUUCUAAGAUUUGGAACGGGGCUAGAAAGCAGAAAAUGAAUGUCAGAUGGGAUAAACUUAUAUGUUUUGCCUCGCACAUUUCCAAGCUUUAUGUUACUAUUAGAAAAAAAAACAAAAAAAAAACAAAUUACACUUAUCCCGAACAAUGACAAUUAAACUGUUUAACCAAGGGGCAAGACACUUGCCACGACUCACAGCCCCCGACCAAGGCGCCUCCACAUGGACAAGUUUCAACUUUCAACACUGUAUAAUGAAAAGAAAAUUGAAGUAGGAUAUCAAACUUGAACAUCCCAAUGUUAAUGGGAUUUGACAUCUACGAACUGGGCCUUCAUUCAGACUUUAUCAAUAGAAAAAGGAAAACCCAAUUUCAACUGAGGCAGGUGCGAUAUAUUUUAUAUAUUCCAUAGCCAACAAUUUUCCUAACGC